rnacentral:rRNA from 1 species
AUGGAGUGGGAACCGGAGCAACAGGAUCUCGGAGGCCUCGGGCUCGCGGGCAUCUGUCGCGAGAUCUACCGGGCGGUCUUCCGCUCCAUCCUCCCGUACGCGGCAGCCGGCGUGGAAGCCGCGCUUCUCUCUGCGCUUUUGCUCGCGCACGUCGCCGCCUUGCGCGGCCUCAGCUCCCUCCUCGAGGCCGACGACGGUUUCCACCUCGUCGGUUUCCUUGCCGGGUUACUCUUCGAGGUCGUCUCGAUAAUCGUCCUCGACUUCUUCUCGCUCGUCUGCACCGCCGUCUACGUCUUCCUCAUCGCCUCCCUCUACUGUACCCAGGGCGACUUCCGCGCUUCUCGGAGACUCCAGCGGCACCUCCCCCGUGUCCCCCUCACGCGGCUCAUCCCUACCUUCUUAUUCGCACUCGCGCUUGCCUAUAUCAUAUUGGUCUUCUCCGUCGUCGCCUUGCUCCUGCUCCAUUACGAGGUCGGCCUACCGCUGCAGCUGAUGGGCGCAGCCGCUUGCCUCGCCGGAGCGGCCUACGUCGCCCCGGUUUUCCACCUUGCCUGCGUCGCGUCGGUGCUCGAGGACGCCGUCCUCUUGGCCGCUGUGCGCAAGAGCCGCGCGCUCCUCGCCGGCAAGUUCUGGCCCGCGGCGGCCGUCUUCCUCACGCUCGACGGCUGCUUCGUCGCCCUGCAGCUGGCCUUCGCGCGGCUGGUGCUGGGCGACGCGCUGGGCCUCGGCCUCGGGAUCCAGGUAGCCGCGGGAGUGGCGACGUUCGUGGCUCUGUGGGUGGUGGUGCUGCUGACGCCGGCGGCGCAGCCGGUGAUCUACAUGGUGUGCAAGAACCACCACCACGAGGUGGUCGACAAGGUCCACCUCGACUACAUCGGAGAGUAUGAGCGGCUCGCCGUCGACGGCGACAACGGCGUGGAGCUGCAACCGGUGACGACGGAGCAGAUUCCUGAAACUAGUGCCGCGUCUUGCAUGUCGACGACUCCACAACGGUAG